ensembl:lncRNA
GCUCUCAGCUGAGAGACAUCAUGACAGGUUUUCAAAGAAAAUCAAAGCAACCAGAAGUGAACUUCCCCAAUUGCAGCCCCCAGUUAAUCCUAGGACUCAGUAAUGACAUUCUUUCAUGGAGGAAAUGUCUAGAGUUGUGAAUAAUAAUCAGAAGAGAAAUCAGAAAAUAAAAGAAGAUUAAAAAGCACCCUCCGCAGACCAAGGCACUGAAGACCCCAAGACUGUUCACCUCUUCUCAGCUGACUUCCUUGCUUCACCACCCCUGCCCCCUACUUGCCCGCUGAUGCAGUGGUUAAAGUGCACGUCUAGUGCCCAGUGAUGGGAACACGGCGGGCCGUCAGGGCGCCCCCAGAAACAGGCCCUGGAGGACGAAGGAGAGGCUCCUCAGGCCCCGCUGCCCGCAGGAGGGAGAGGAGGCUCGAGUUAGUCUCCGUCUGGUUCACACUGCAGCUCAACGCUGAGGAGACUCAAUCUUGGGGUUUCAAGACCUCGGAGUCUUGUAGGUGAAACAAGGUCGACAGGCCUUCCGGGACCUCAGUUCCAGGACAAUGAGGCUCCUCUGUAUCUUCCUCACUGCUCUCUCGAUCUUCUUCCAGACAGCACUAGGGCGCUCAAUUUUGAAAGACCCUGCCAUCUUCGGGGUGGAAUCUGCCUGAAGCAAGGGACGCCGAGCUGUGAGCCCUUCAGAGGACCUUGCGGGCAUUCACCGUUUGCUGCAAAAUAAAGCCGAGCUGAUGGAGGCAGCCCAGCUGAGGAACCUGGCGAGAGACCCAGAGCAAUCUCCUCUUGUGCUAAUAAAAGCAGACAGUUCUCACAUCUACAUAAUCGAAUGUUUUAUCAUUAGGACUGAUGUUGUUUUCCAUGGCAGGGGGAAGGAGACAGUUAUUAUGCUUAAAUUCUUGCCU